rnacentral:piRNA from 2 species
UGAUGUGACAAAAGCUGCACAGUAGCA